rnacentral:rRNA from 1 species
AAUGGACGAAAGUCUGACGGAGCGACGCCGCGUGGAUGAAGAAGGCCGAAAGGUUGUAAAAUCCUUUUGUCGAUGAAGAAUAAGCAUGGGAGGGAAUGCCCGUGUGAUGACGUUAGUCGGCGAAUAAGCCCCGGCUAAUUACGUGCCAGCAGCCGCGGUAACACGUAAGGGGCGAGCGUUGUUCGGAAUUAUUGGGCGUAAAGGGCGCGUAGGCGGUCCUGUAAGCCCGGCGUGAAAACCUGGAGCUCAACUCCGGGCCUGCGCUGGGAACUGCGGGACUAGAGUCAUGGAAGGGAAGUUGGAAUUCCAGGUGUAGGGGUGAAAUCUGUAGAUAUCUGGAAGAACACCGGUGGCGAAGGCGAACUUCUGGCCAAUGACUGACGCUGAGGCGCGAAAGUGCGGGGAGCAAA